rnacentral:misc_RNA from 1 species
UACGUAGGACGCAAGCGUUAUCCGGAAUUAUUGGGCGUAAAGAGCUCGUAGGCGGUUUGUCGCGUCUGCCGUGAAAGUCCGGGGCUCAACUCCGGAUCUGCGGUGGGUACGGGCAGGCGAGAGUGAUGUAGGGGAGACUGGAAUUCCUGGUGUAGCGGUGAAAUGCGCAGAUAGCAGGAGGAACACCGAUGGCGAAAGCAGGUCUCUGGGCAUUAACUGACGCUGGGGAGCGAAAGCAUGGGGAGCGAACAGG